UACGUAGGGAGCAAGCGUUGUCCGGAAUCAUUGGGCGUAAAGCGCGCGUAGGUGGCCUCGUAAGUCCGCUGUAAAAGUCAAAGGCUCAACCUUUGAAAGCCGGUGGAUACUGCGGGGCUAGAGUACGGAAGAGGCGAGUGGAAUUCCUGGUGUAGCGGUGGAAUGCGCAGAUAGUCAGGAGGAACACCAAUAGCGAAGGCAGCUCGCUGGGACGUUACUGACACUGAGGAGCGAAAGCAUGGGGAGCGAACAGG
rnacentral:rRNA from 1 species